GGAUGUCAGGCGACCUGGCUACAAUAUUUGUCAAUCAACUGGGGUUGAUGCGCCUUUCUUCCCUCACUGCUCCAUUUACAUCCCUCCUGAAGCUGUGUGCUUGGUGUAAGAGGACUAUCCCAGAUAGAAAAAGUUUAUUGUUCUUCAGCACUUUACAUCAAAGUGAUGUUACCAUCUCAUAAACAAUUCUGAGCAUGUGAAAAUCCAGUUGGUCAGAUGGUAAUAGUAUCUUAGAUUAUGAAUCCUGAAAUUUUGGAAUAGGUUUCAUGAAAGGGGAAGCAUUUGUUUCCUA
rnacentral:snRNA from 1 species